rnacentral:rRNA from 1 species
UACGAGGGGGGCGAGCGUUGUUCGGAAUUAUUGGGCGUAAAGGGUGCGUAGGCGGUUUGGUAAGUCUUGUGUGAAAUCUACGGGCUCAACUUGUAGUCUGCACGAGAAACUGCCGGGCUUGAGUAUGGGAGAGGUGAGUGGAAUUCCUGGUGUAGCGGUGAAAUGCGUAGAUAUCAGGAGGAACACCUGUGGUGUAGACAGCUUACUGGACCACUUCUGACGCUGAGACACGAAAGCGUGGGUAGCAAACAGG